UCGGUCGUGGGUUCGUUAUGCCACUUGUGCGUCAUUCAAAGCCGUUCUGUACAUUUAUACUGGAUAUUAAUUGGAGUCAUUUAGCUGUGCUGAUUCUGCUUGCCGUGUAUUUUGCAUCAGUGCUUCGUGACAUCGGCUGUAUUGCGUGUUUUCGCCGACGGCUUACUACCACAAUGGCGUGAUCUGCGUUCGCCGCCUUCGUGUCUCGGUGCGUCUUUGUAUACGUCGCACGUUCGGACAACACUUUUUCCGACGGCUGGACAUCCUUCUUGUACCUUGGCGCUAGCUGGAUGACGGGACCUCAUCAUGAUAAGCCAAUGUAUUGCUUGCCUAUGUCUACAAGAACCGUCACGCGUGGCCUGUGACAGCAAGCUUUUGUGGGCAGCAAGUGCUCUCCUACGAAGGCUGGCCUACUCUGGCAGCGGCGGCAAUCAUCUUCAAGAUUUAUCCAUGAUCACCUUUGCUGCUAUUUGUCACUCUUGUUGAUUACACUUUCUGCAUCUUUUCUAAUUUAUUAGGUAAUAAAGUAUGAGUAUGUGACA